rnacentral:rRNA from 1 species
GUGUCAGCAGCCGCGGUAAUACGGAGGAUCCGAGCGUUAUCCGGAUUUAUUGGGUUUAAAGGGUGCGUAGGCGGACCGAUAAGUCAGUGGUGAAAGUUUGCAGCUCAACUGUAAAAUUGCCAUUGAAACUGUUGGUCUUGAGUGUAAAUGAGGUAGGCGGAAUGUGUUGUGUAGCGGUGAAAUGCUUAGAUAUAACACAGAACACCAAUUGCGAAGGCAGCUUACUGGGAUACAACUGACGCUGAGGCACGAAAGCGUGGGGAUCAAACAGGAUUAGAAACCCGAGUAGUCC